rnacentral:rRNA from 1 species
GAUCCUGGCUCAGGAUGAACGCUAGCUACAGGCUUAACACAUGCAAGUCGAGGGGCAGCAUGGUCUUAGCUUGCUAAGGCUGAUGGCGACCGGCGCACGGGUGAGUAACACGUAUCCAACCUGCCGUCUACUCUUGGCCAGCCUUCUGAAAGGAAGAUUAAUCCAGGAUGGGAUCAUGAGUUCACAUGUCCGCAAUGAUUAAAGGUAUUUUCCGGUANACGAUGGGG